UACGUAGGGUGCAAGCGUUGUCCGGAAUUAUUGGGCGUAAAGAGCUCGUAGGCGGUUUGUCGCGUCGACUGUGAAAACCUGGGGCUUAACUCUGGGCUUGCAGUCGAUACGGGCAGACUUGAGUUCGGUAGGGGAGACUGGAAUUCCUGGUGUAGCGGUGAAAUGCGCAGAUAUCAGGAGGAACACCGGUGGCGAAGGCGGAUCUCUGGGCCUUACCUGACGCUCAGGUGCGAAAGCUAGGGGAGCGAACAGG
rnacentral:rRNA from 1 species